UUUGCGUGUUUCAUUUUCCAUGUGGGUCCUAUGGCAAACGUCCAAACACGAUGGCAGGCUUUGUUUUUGUUGUUAUUUUGUUUUUUGGCCUCGCAGGCCAAACCAAAACAAAUUGUUCUUUCGUGUUGGGCCUUUCGUGUUUCGUGUUAGGCCUUUGUAAUCAACAAUAUUUUUUCGUUCGUUUUUGUAAAUUUUACAGUAAAUGUCGCGUUUUUCAUACAUUGUCUGUUACACAUCGAGUUUUCCUGCAUUUCAAAAGGAUAAUGCUGGAUACUUGGAUGGCUAAAAAGCCCACAAACUCAGACGAUUUUGACCGGAAGGUGCUCCAGACAUGCUCGGAACUAGGGUGAGGACAACACGGUAUUGCUAACACCCAGAGUGGCCUUCUUAGAGGAAACAGCUUAAAGCAUCUGUGGAAGGAAUAUCGUACGAUUUCGAUGGAGGCGUAGGAACCAAGCUACCAACAUAAAUGCUGCCAAAUUGCAUGGCCAUCUCCGCCGGAUCUUUAUGUUGCCUACGGGUCGAUGGCACCGACGACUUGACCGGCCACCACCCGAGAGGGAGGGGGGAUCUUUCUGUGCGAAAGUUCUUAUCAACGGGUACAUUCAUCGGAACGAGAUAGCGACACGGAAUAGCAAACAGGAGAAAUGGACUAACAGUGUCUUCAAGUGAUGGUUUUAUCCGUUUUAUCUAAUAUAUUUAUGUAAAUUUUA
rnacentral:lncRNA from 1 species